GAUGAACGCUGGCGGCGUGCCUAAUACAUGCAAGUCGAGCGAACGGACGAGAAGCUUGCUUCUCUGAUGUUAGCGGCGGACGGGUGAGUAACACGUGGAUAACCUACCUAUAAGACUGGGAUAACUUCGGGAAACCGGAGCUAAUACCGGAUGAUAUUUUGAACCGCAUGGUUCAAAAGUGAAAGACGGUCUUGCCGUCACUUAUAGAUGGAUCCGCGCUGCAUUAGCUAGUUGGUAAGGUAACGGCUUACCAAGGCAACGAUGCAUAGCCGACCUGAGAGGGUGAUCGGCCACACUGGAACUGAGACACGGUCCAGACUCCUACGGGAGGCAGCAGUAGGGAAUCUUCCGCAAUGGGCGAAAGCCUGACGGAGCAACGCCGCGUGAGUGAUGAAGGUCUUCGGAUCGUAAAAAUCUGUUAUUAGGGAAGAACAUAUGUGUAAGUAACUGUGCACAUCUUGACGGUACCUAAUCAGAAAGCCACGGCUAACUACGUG
rnacentral:rRNA from 1 species